rnacentral:tRNA from 1 species
CAGGGUGUAGCUUAACUCAAAGUCUUUCGCUUACACCGAAACCAUAUUUGUGAAAACCAAAUCACCCUG